UACGGAAGGCAGCAGUGGGGAAUAUUGCACAAUGGGCGCAAGCCUGAUGCAGCCAUGCCGCGUGUAUGAAGAAGGCCUUCGGGUUGUAAAGUACUUUCAGUCGUGAGGAAGGUGUUAAGGUUAAUAACCUUAGCAAUUGACGUUAGCGACAGAAGAAGCAUCGGCUAACUCCGUGCCAGCAGCCGCGGUAAUACGGAGGGUGCGAGCGUUAAUCGGAAUUACUGGGCGUAAAGGGCACGCAGGCGGUUAAUUAAGUUGGAUGUGAAAUCCCCGGGCUUAACCUGGGAAUGGCAUUCAAGACUGGUUAGCUAGAGUCUUGUAGAGGGGGUAGAAUUCCAUGUGUAGCGGUGAAAUGCGUAGAGAUGUGGAGGAUACCGGUGGCGAAGCGGCCCCUGGGACAAGACUGACGCUCAUGUGCGAAAGCGUGGGGAGCAAACGAGGAUUAGGAUACC
rnacentral:rRNA from 1 species